rnacentral:rRNA from 1 species
UACGGGGGGGGCAAGCGUUGUUCGGAAUUACUGGGCGUAAAGGGCUCGUAGGCGGCCAGCUAAGUCAGACGUGAAAUCCCUCGGCUUAACCGGGGAACUGCGUCUGAUACUGGAUGGCUUGAGUUUGGGAGAGGGAUGCGGAAUUCCAGGUGUAGCGGUGAAAUGCGUAGAUAUCUGGAGGAACACCGGUGGCGAAGGCGGCAUCCUGGACCGAUACUGACGCUGAGGAGCGAAAGCCAGGGGAGCAAAGCGGG